rnacentral:rRNA from 1 species
ACGCUCGACACCUACGGGAGACAGCAGUGGGGAAUAUUGCACAAUGGGGGAAACCCUGAUGCAGCGACGCCGCGUGAGCGAAGAAGUAUCUCGGUAUGUAAAGCUCUAUCAGCAGGGAAGAAGAUGACGGUACCUGACUAAGAAGCACCGGCUAAAUACGUGCCAGCAGCCGCGGUAAUCUGAGCGGGCUGGCAAGGC